rnacentral:lncRNA from 1 species
UGUUUGAAGUACCUAGAAAAUAAAUUUUGUGAUUUUUCGAUAUCGUUUGCCUAGUGAUCGAAGGGACUCAAAAUCAAUAAUUUUAAUGGCCGUGGUGAGCUGUUUGCAUGUUUAACGGAGUAGAAAUAUUCAAAUCAUGUAAAAUUUUGAUAGAAAAAUUUUUAUACUAUAUAAAAUAAGAUCAAUAUCUUUGAUAUAAAAUUUUAAUGUCAUAUAAUCAUAUUUUCUAAGAUUUUUAUUUUCAGCCGUUGAUUUUGAGCCCUUUCGAUCACUAGGCAUAUGAUAUCGAAAAAUCGCAAAAUUUAUUUUCUAAGUACUGCAAAUAUUUUAGAUUAAGUCGAGCCUAUUGUCGAUUCGAAAAUCCCAAUAUCGAAAACAACUUGAAAUCACGGAAGGCUCCAUGGAUCCAGAAGCAUACUAGCCUCACACACACACACACUCUCUCUCUCUUUUUCUUUUUCUCUCUCUCUCUUUCUCUCUCUCUCUCUCUCUCUCUCUAUAUAUAUAUAUAUAACUAAGCUAUAGGCUAUUAUACUAUUAAUAGCACCAACUAAUGGGUGCUAUGAGGUUUUCGGCCCUUAGAUUAAGGGAUGUACGGUUAGGACAAUAGUGGUCCCCUAGGGUUGAGUGGGUGGUUGGUUAAAUAAUAUGAUUUAACAAGUGAAAAUAGUCAAAAUGGUAGAUCUAACGGUGAUUAGGUAAAUCUUUUUUCGGUACAGCCUCCUAUG